UUAAGCGACUAAGCGUACACGGUGGAUGCCCUGGCAGUCAGAGGCGAUGAAGGACGUGCUAAUCUGCGAUAAGCGUCGGUGAGGUGAUAUGAACCGUUAUAACCGGCGAUUUCCGAAUGGGGAAACCCAGUGUGUUUCGACACACUAUCAUUAACUGAAUCCAUAGGUUAAUGAGGCGAACCGGGGGAACUGAAACAUCUAAGUACCCCGAGGAAAAGAAAUCAACCGAGAUUCCCCCAGUAGCGGCGAGCGAACGGGGAGGAGCCCAGAGCCUGAAUCAGUGUGUGUGUUAGUGGAAGCGUCUGGAAAGGCGUGCGAUACAGGGUGACAGCCCCGUACACAAAAAUGCACAUAUUGUGAGCUCGAUGAGUAGGGCGGGACACGUGGUAUCCUGUCUGAAUAUGGGGGGACCAUCCUCCAAGGCUAAAUACUCCUGACUGACCGAUAGUGAACCAGUACCGUGAGGGAAAGGCGAAAAGAACCCCGGCGAGGGGAGUGAAAAAGAACCUGAAACCGUGUACGUACAAGCAGUGGGAGCCUCUUAAUGGGGUGACUGCGUACCUUUUGUAUAAUGGGUCAGCGACUUAUAUUCUGUAGCAAGGUUAACCGAAUAGGGGAGCCGAAGGGAAACCGAGUCUUAACUGGGCGUUAAGUUGCAGGGUAUAGACCCGAAACCCGGUGAUCUAGCCAUGGGCAGGUUGAAGGUUGGGUAACACUAACUGGAGGACCGAACCGACUAAUGUUGAAAAAUUAGCGGAUGACUUGUGGCUGGGGGUGAAAGGCCAAUCAAACCGGGAGAUAGCUGGUUCUCCCCGAAAGCUAUUUAGGUAGCGCCUCGUGAAUUCAUCUCCGGGGGUAGAGCACUGUUUCGGCAAGGGGGUCAUCCCGACUUACCAACCCGAUGCAAACUGCGAAUACCGGAGAAUGUUAUCACGGGAGACACACGGCGGGUGCUAACGUCCGUCGUGAAGAGGGAAACAACCCAGACCGCCAGCUAAGGUCCCAAAGUNNCAUGGUUAAGUGGGAAACGAUGUGGGAAGGCCCAGACAGCCAGGAUGUUGGCUUAGAAGCAGCCAUCAUUUAAAGAAAGCGUAAUAGCUCACUGGUCGAGUCGGCCUGCGCGGAAGAUGUAACGGGGCUAAACCAUGCACCGAAGCUGCGGCAGCGACACUAUGUGUUGUUGGGUAGGGGAGCGUUCUGUAAGCCUGUGAAGGUGGCCUGUGAGGGUUGCUGGAGGUAUCAGAAGUGCGAAUGCUGACAUAAGUAACGAUAAAGCGGGUGAAAAGCCCGCUCGCCGGAAGACCAAGGGUUCCUGUCCAACGUUAAUCGGGGCAGGGUGAGUCGACCCCUAAGGCGAGGCCGAAAGGCGUAGUCGAUGGGAAACAGGUUAAUAUUCCUGUACUUGGUGUUACUGCGAAGGGGGGACGGAGAAGGCUAUGUUGGCCGGGCGACGGUUGUCCCGGUUUAAGCGUGUAGGCUGGUUUUCCAGGCAAAUCCNNGGAAAACCAAGGCUGAGGCGUGAUGACGAGGCACUACGGUGCUGAAGCAACAAAUGCCCUGCUUCCAGGAAAAGCCUCUNNAAGCAUCAGGUAACAUCAAAUCGUACCCCAAACCGACACAGGUGGUCAGGUAGAGAAUACCAAGGCGCUUGAGAGAACUCGGGUGAAGGAACUAGGCAAAAUGGUGCCGUAACUUCGGGAGAAGGCACGNCUGAUAUGUAGGUGAAGCGACUUGCUCGUGGAGCUGAAAUCAGUCGAAGAUACCAGCUGGCUGCAACUGUUUAUUAAAAACACAGCACUGUGCAAACACGAANNAGUGGACGUAUACGGUGUGACGCCUGCCCGGUGCCGGAAGGUUAAUUGAUGGGGUUAGCGGNNUAACGCGAAGCUCUUGAUCGAAGCCCCGGUAAACGGCGGCCGUAACUAUAACGGUCCUAAGGUAGCGAAAUUCCUUGUCGGGUAAGUUCCGACCUGCACGAAUGGCGUAAUGAUGGCCAGGCUGUCUCCACCCGAGACUCAGUGAAAUUGAACUCGCUGUGAAGAUGCAGUGUACCCGCGGCAAGACGGAAAGACCCCGUGAACCUUUACUAUAGCUUGACACUGAACAUUGAGCCUUGAUGUGUAGGAUAGGUGGGAGGCUUUGAAGUGUGGACGCCAGUCUGCAUGGAGCCGACCUUGAAAUACCACCCUUUAAUGUUUGAUGUUCUAACGUUGGCCCGUAAUCCGGGUUGCGGACAGUGUCUGGUGGGUAGUUUGACUGGGGCGGUCUCCUCCUAAAGAGUAACGGAGGAGCACGAAGGUUGGCUAAUCCUGGUCGGACAUCAGGAGGUUAGUGCAAUGGCAUAAGCCAGCUUGACUGCGAGCGUGACGGCGCGAGCAGGUGCGAAAGCAGGUCAUAGUGAUCCGGUGGUUCUGAAUGGAAGGGCCAUCGCUCAACGGAUAAAAGGUACUCCGGGGAUAACAGGCUGAUACCGCCCAAGAGUUCAUAUCGACGGCGGUGUUUGGCACCUCGAUGUCGGCUCAUCACAUCCUGGGGCUGAAGUAGGUCCCAAGGGUAUGGCUGUUCGCCAUUUAAAGUGGUACGCGAGCUGGGUUUAGAACGUCGUGAGACAGUUCGGUCCCUAUCUGCCGUGGGCGCUGGAGAACUGAGGGGGGCUGCUCCUAGUACGAGAGGACCGGAGUGGACGCAUCACUGGUGUUCGGGUUGUCAUGCCAAUGGCACUGCCCGGUAGCUAAAUGCGGAAGAGAUAAGUGCUGAAAGCAUCUAAGCACGAAACUUGCCCCGAGAUGAGUUCUCCCUGAGACUUAGAGUCUCCUGAAGGAACGUUGAAGACGACGACGUUGAUAGGCCGGGUGUGUAAGCGCAGCGAUGCGUUGAGCUAACCGGUACUAAUGAACCGUGAGGCUUAACCU
rnacentral:rRNA from 1 species